CUAUCCCUGCUGUGUUCGUGAGAACAGCCGUUCAGUUUUUGCCAACACCAACAACUAGGGAGCUUGGUCUCCACAUGUGGCUGUAUGCCCGGAUAUACCGGGAAACAUUAUACAUGUGGGAGGGCACCCACCUGCGAAGCAGGUUUAAACGACGGUUGCCACGGCUCGGUGGGGUUUUU
rnacentral:other from 1 species